rnacentral:rRNA from 1 species
GACGUAGGAGGCGAGCGUUGUCCGGAUUUACUGGGCGUAAAGAGCGCGCAGGCGGUCGUUCAAGUCGCGUGUGAAAGCCCCCGGCUCAACUGGGGAGGGUCACGCGAUACUGAUCGACUCGAAGGCAGGAGAGGGUAGUGGAAUUCCCGGUGUAGUGGUGAAAUUCGUAGAUAUCGGGAGGAACACCAGUGGCGAAGGCGGCUUCCUGGCCUGUUCUUGACGCUGAGGCGCGAAAGCUAGGGGAGCAAACGGG